UACGUAGGGUGCGAGCGUUAAUCGGAAUUACUGGGCGUAAAGCGUGCGCAGGCGGUUCGUCGUGUCCGCUGUGAAAGCCCCGGGCUCAACCUGGGAAUGGCAUUGGAAACUGGCGGACUCGAGUGUGGCAGAGGGGGGUGGAAUUCCGCGUGUAGCAGUGAAAUGCGUAGAGAUGCGGAGGAACACCGAUGGCGAAGGCAGCCCCCUGGGCUAACACUGACGCUCAGGCACGAAAGCGUGGGGAGCAAACAGG
rnacentral:rRNA from 1 species